rnacentral:rRNA from 1 species
GACGAACGCUGGCGGCGUGCUUAACACAUGCAAGUCGAACGGAAAGGCCCUGCUUGCAGGGUACUCGAGUGGCGAACGGGUGAGUAACACGUGGGUGAUCUGCCCUGCACUUCGGGAUAAGCUUGGGAAACUGGGUCUAAUACCGGAUAGGAACCAUCUUUAGUGUGGUGGUUGGAAAGUUUUUUCGGUGUAGGAUGAGCUCGCGGCCUAUCAGCUUGUUGGUGGGGUAAUGGCCUACCAAGGCGGCGACGGGUAGCCGGCCUGAGAGGGUGUACGGCCACAUUGGGACUGAGAUAGGGCCCAGCACCCUACGGGGGGCAGCAGGGGGGAAUAUUACAAAAGGGGGGCAAGCCUGUUGCGGCGGCGCCGCGGGGGGGAUAAAGGCCUUCGGGUUAAAAACUCCUUUCGCUGGGAACGAAGCUUUUUGGGAGGGUACUAAGAAAAAAAGCACCGGUAAACUACGU